rnacentral:lncRNA from 1 species
AUGGAGACCAGUCAGUACACUACUUCAGUAGCCCAGAUGCGGGAGAGAAUACUUGACCCUAGAUUUGCCCGCCUGCAUCUUUCUCCUGACUCCAACCUCAGUUCCUCCUCGGACUGCCUCUCUCCAUCUGUAUUGCAAAACACCAAACUCUCUGCCAGAGAACACAUCCAGGUUUGUGGCCAUGUGACUGAGCUCUACUCAGUGAGAACUGUUGUGUCACAUUCUGGAAGAUGCCUCAGUGAGGCGAUGCACAUCUUUUGCCCUUCCUUUGUCUCCUGGGAAGUGAUUUUGAGG